AGCAUCAAAAUGGAAGCUAUAUGAGCAUCAAUUUCUUGCUUUGAAGAGUUGCCCCUGACGGUCUCUGACUCUGUAGUCGCUUCACAAGGUUGUUCAUAUGAGACUAAUAUUCACUCUACCGUUCGUCUAACUCACUUCGUUCGGCUUCAGUCGAGCACUUUUGUCCCUCUCGCGAACAAAAGAUCAAAGCUCGCGAUAUCACAACAAUGGAAUAUGAGCAAAUGGAUGAGAAGAUACAAGUUCCGUGUAUCAAGUCGACAUGCUCCGGUUCUACUUGUUAUUGCUGCGCAAUCACAAGCAAGUGUUGGGAAUCAGUCAAGUUGUGUGAUGACAAUUGUCCUGCAUGCGAUCCUUCAUGUACUCAGUCUUUACAUUAGCCUGCCCACACGCACAAACCAAAAUAAAUCACAUUUGUGAUACACUGUUAUUAAAAUUGUUCAAAUAAAACUAAAAUUUAGAUUUAAA